CCUACGGGAGGCUGCAGUGGGGAAUAUUGCACAAUGGGGGCAACCCUGAUGCAGCGACGCCGCGUGAGUGAAGAAGUAAUUCGUUAUUUAAAGCUCUAUCAGCCGGGAAGAAAAUGACGGUACCUGAGUAAGAAGCCCCGGCUAACUACGUGCCAGCAGCCGCGGUAAUACGUAGGGGGCAAGCGUUAUCCGGAUUUACUGGGGGUAAAGGGGGCGUAGACGGCAGUGCAAGUCUGGAGUGAAAGGCGGGGGCUCAACCCCCGGACUGCUCUUGAAACUGUACGGCUGGAGUGCAGGAGAGGUAAGUGGAAUUCCUGGUGUAGCGGUGAAAUGCGUAGAUAUUAGGAGGAACACCAGUGGCGAAGGCGGCUUACUGGACUGUAACUGACGUUGAGGCUCGAAAGCGUGGGGAGCAAACAGGAUUAGAUACCCUAGUAGUC
rnacentral:rRNA from 1 species